AGCGAACGCUGGCGGCAGGCCUAACACAUGCAAGUCGAACGAACCUUUCGGGGUUAGUGGCGGACGGGUGAGUAACACGUGGGAACGUGCCUUUAGGUUCGGAAUAACUCAGGGAAACUUGUGCUAAUACCGAAUGUGCUCUUCGGGGGAAAGAUUUAUCGCCUUUAGAGCGGCCCGCGUCUGAUUAGCUAGUUGGUUGAGGUAAUGGCUCACCAAGGCGACGAUCAGUAGCUGGUCUGAGAGGAUGAUCAGCCACAUUGGGACUGAGACACGGCCCAAACUCCUACGGGAGGCAGCAGUGGGGAAUCUUGCGCAACGGGCGAAAGCCUGACGCAGCCAUGCCGCGUGAAUGAUGAAGGUCUUAGGAUUGUAAAAUUCUUUCACCGGGGACGAUAAUGACGGUACCCGGAGAAGAAGCCCCGGCUAACUUCGUG
rnacentral:rRNA from 1 species